rnacentral:rRNA from 1 species
UACGAAGGGGGCUAGCGUUGUUCGGAAUCACUGGGCGUAAAGGGCGCGUAGGCGGCUGUUCAAGUCGGGGGUGAAAUCCCGUGGCUCAACCACGGAAUGGCCUUCGAUACUGACGGCUCGAGACCGGAAGAGGUGAGUGGAACUGCGAGUGUAGCGGUGAAAUUCGUAGAUAUUCGCAAGAACACCAGUGGCGAAGGCGGCUCACUGGUCCGGUUCUGGACGCUGAGGCGCGAAAGCGUGGGGAGCAAACAGG